rnacentral:snoRNA from 1 species
GCCUUCUCAUUGAGCUCCUUCAUGUCUGAAUCAGUGACUGUGAAGGAUUCGCAAGAGAAGAAUAUUAAAUCACAGUUUGGCCUUCUGCAUGCUUUGCUGCAAAGGUGUGUGGCCACGUUGUGUCACAAAG